UGUGGUCCUAAAAUCCAAAAUGAAACCAAGAAUGUCCAAUUAUUUUCAAAUGCUGAAGUUAGCAUACCUAUUUUUGGCCGAAUGGUCAAGUGUUAGUAAGCGAUCUGGAGAAGCAGCGGAGGCCACCUACACACCGUUCGGAGAGUGCCAAACACAGACUUCAGUCAUUCUGAUGAUAAAUUGUGCAACUGUGAAUGUUAUCUUGCAUCAUCCCCAUUUGGAGGGUAAUUACUCCUCUCUCAGCAGGGAAAUGCAAGCCAAAAAACCAAAGGGGGUGUAAUGACACUAGACCCCCAGGGCAGGUUGAUUGUUUGGGCUUAAACACACAUAGGGUGUUAUACAGUCCAACCUGUUUCACAUAAUUCAUAACCUGGUAACAUGACAAGCCUGGUGCUAAUCACCAACCCUACUUUUUGACAAACAAGACUAUACUUUACUUUCACUGUUAGGCUAUUUAUACCUGUUGGGAUAGCGGUGAUGAUAUGUAAUUCAACACCAUGGGAUGAUAUAGUAAUCCUCACAUAAUGCCUGUCUGUGUCAGGGGCCCCUCUGACAAAAUAAUGCUAUUCUGUUCUUUAAACCUGGGCUGAAGCUUUACUUCCUCUGUAGCUUAAUCUUUUUGUGGGCAUGUGGUUAUUGUAAAGUGAUACUGCAUAUCUUUGGUGCUGCAAAGACACUGAUAUCAUAAUUUGGUCUGUAUAUUGUCAUUUUAUUUAUGAUACGUUGUGAGAUGUGUUUAAAUGAAUCUGUUUAUCUUCUGCAGAUGCUGCAGAAAAGACAAUUUCGGCUCAUUAGGCAUGAAAGAAUUGGGUCAUGGGAAUGUAACGUAUAAUCAUCCUCAUCAAGUCUCUCUGAGGAGCAACAGGUGUUAUUGAAAGGUAAAAGCCCUUUGUCCCUGAACAGAUGUCAGGGGCCUUUUGAGAGAUUCUGGGUUUCCAAGUAAACUGCAUGCAUGCGCACACAUAUACAGUGUGAAUUUCAGCAGCUUCAUGGCAUGAAAACCAUAGAAGCAGAAAGGAUGAGACUCCAAAACAAGCCUUUGCAUGUUGGAUUUCACAGCUAAACGUGUAUAGAUAAUGAAUCUCAUCCUGACGUUUUUCUUUUUCUAGAAAAGCAAAUGGUCUGGUUUCCGGGGGUUCAUUCAUAUUAACACCCAGGAUGAUUGUUUACAACUUGCUAUUAAUGCUAGCUGUUAAACCCCCAUACCUUUACCAGCCAAACACAAGCACACAAUAAAAUCUCUGUUUGGUUGCAGUGUGCUGGAAAGCCCCGAGCAUUCAUUAGUAAACCACAGAAAAUUUAUAUGCAUGUCUUCCAUCCCGUGCUAUGCGGAAGAAGCCAUUACUGUAUCUUAAAGGUGAAAUGUUUUUUGAUGUUAAAAUACUUAAUCUGCAAAACCAACUAUUAUAAAGUUAUUUGCACAGGGUUCUCGCACCUUUUGACCAAUGAAAUUACAUGAUUUUUCUAAUUGCUAGUAAUUGCUUCCAAUUAUUUCAUAAGAUUUUUUUUAAUGCAUAUUGUACUCACAAAGAACCACUUCGAGCAAACAAAACAUUUUAGACCCAAGCAUAACAAGAAAAAAAAAAAAAGACACCUAAUCUUAAAAUGUGAAAACAACAUACUGCAAAUUUCAAUAGGCUGAAUGUAUCUAUUUUAUUUUUUAUUAUUAAUACUUGCUGUAGAAUGAUUAGAUGGUAAUAUAAUUAUGAAUACCUGACAAAUUUUAAAGCAAUUAUAAAAAAUGUCCAACAAUGUGACAUGUUAUCAGAUCAUAGGAGACAUCUUGAAGCGCUACUUGCUGAUUAAAGACCCUGUGAAAUGUGACAUGUUAUAUUUAUACUAUUAUAAAUGCAUUUCUCUUUUUUUAUAUAGUUACUGUAUGAAAAGAAUGUUUUACCCAAAAAUCAAUAUGUUUAAUCCCAUUGCGUAUAUUGAAAUCUUUUGCACCAAAUGUUAUCUAAUGACUAUUUGUGAUUCAGUUUGAAUAUGCACAUACUUAAAUUGUUUAGAUUUGAGAGCUGGCUAGAUAUUCAUUUAAUAAACACUUAAAUUUUGAUCUUUUCCAAACAGAAAUCUAUUAUAAAGUGCCAGAAGCCCUAGAAUACAAUGCAAGAUUGUUCAGACUACUUUUACUUUUAAUAGUACUCUUAUUUUUAGGCAAUAUGAGAGAUAGACGACAAAUUAUGAGAUUGACAUGAAUGGGAGAUGUUGCAGACUCGAUAUGAGUUCACAUCGCCCAUAUUAGCACCAUGGCUUAAUAUGUUUGAGCACGUGCAUUAACCACUAGGCAAUGACUCUGACAGAAUAUUUGACCAUCAAAUGACUGGUAAGCAUGUGAGCGAGAGAGAAACACAGAUUCAUGAGUGCAUGUACUUAAAUAAGGACAUCCUGAUUGAAUUUGCGACUGCAAAAAGCAUGGGCUUUUUAAUGCCUGGUAAUGUGACAACAUUCACAUGAGAGUUAUCAGAGGAGGAAGCAGGAAAUCCAUUUGCGCACAAGCCAAGAAAUCUGUAUCUGAAAUAUCACACCUGCUCUUAUAAAACAGUUACAGUUGUAAUGUAAAUGUAUAUUUAAUCUCAAUGCCAAUCAGUUAUCAUAUCAGCGGAAACAUUGAUCUGUGCUCCGUCUCAAUCCAAACAGCCGUAAUUCAAGCAGCCUGCCACCUUUCAGCUGUCAGGAUGACUGUAUGAUCACGGUUGAGAUGCCCUUAUCUCCUCGCUGUCGGAAGCGGCCGGCUGCUGAAUGUCUGCCGCACGUGUUUACCUUGUCUCAUCCUCACACUCUGAUUAUAAGGCAGCUGCCGGCAGCCGUCUGUCUGACUGAGCCAAAUCAUUACCUGCCUUUAAUCUCCUGCUCUGAUAUUGCCUGUUGUGGGUAAUUACUGCGGUGCCAAAUCAACUUGUUCUCACUUGCAUUUACAAAAAACUAAACAAGAAAGAAGAAGAAAAAAAAAAAAAUCAAAUCAAUUACUCUGAUCCCUUGGCUUUGCAAAAGAUUGACUCUUUCUUACCUCAUACUCAUAACUCAAUAUUUGUCUCCUCCCUUAUGUGUUCUUUCAACUGAGAUUGUGGAAUAUGACGUGUUUUAAUAUCGACCCGCUGUUCCACAACAUGUCCAUGAAUAUGAUUUGGUUUCAUGAGCGAGCCAAGUCCAGACAUUUGUGUUUCAUUUUUCAGGCACCGAGUAAUUAGAAACAACUCAAGCAUCUCCCACAUCGAGCCAGACAAGUGCGUUGACCUACAAGCUGUCAGUCAUGGUGGCUUAUUUCCAUUUUCGCAGUUUUUCUGUGCUCACAUUUAAUCAACUUCCCAUAGCUUUUAAUAGGACUUUGUGUUGCUUGCUAUGCUAUUGUUCAAAAGUUUGGGGUCAGUAAGAUUUUUUUAAAUGCUUCUGAUAGAAGUCUUUUUUUUUUUAUCUUAUUUUAUAAAAAAUGCAAUACAAUACAAUAAAACUCUAAUAUUGUGAACUUAUUACAGUUUAGAAUAACUGUUUUAAUAUAUUUUAAAUGUACUCCUAUGAUAGCAAAGCUGAAUUUUCUGCAGCCUUCAGUGUCACAGGAUCCUUCAGAAAUCAUUCCAAUAUGAUAAUUUUGUUCUCAAGAAAUAUCAAUAUUGAAAACUGUUGUGCUGCUUAAAGGGGUCAAAUGAUGCGAUUUCUUGUUUUCCUUUUCUUUCGUGUGCUAUAUAGCUGUUUGUGCAUGUAUAAGAUCUGCAGAGUUACAAAGCUCAAAGUCUCCCACAAAAGGAUUUAUUCUAUUUAAAAGAGAAGGCUGAUCCAGACCGGGCUAAAACGCCUCAUUAAAACACACCCUGUCACGAUGUGGAAAUAUUUGCUUAAUGCCGCCCAAAUGUUCACGCAAAGAAAGAAGGUGUGGUUUCAGUACCGCAGUAGUGACAAGUAGUUUGACAGGCUAUUUCUUAAAAAAAAAAAAAAAAUGGGUCAAUUCUGACUUUGCUAUGACAAUCUGGUGCUUCUGAAUCAGUGACUGUAAGUAUGUUUUGUUAUUAGUUUAAGUAUUUGCUAAUGACUGUUCAAAUGAGGAGUUUUGCACAGCGUGUGGGUUUGGGGUUAGGGGGGGGGGGAUCACAGAGUGAACAGCCUGUCAGAAAUCAUAGCACGUCAGCUGUCUUAACCGCGGCUUGUGUACUGCAUCAUCACUGUGUCUAUCACGUGACUCUGUUCCCCUCUCGGGCUUGAACUAAUGGUAAAACUAAUGACAUUAUUAACUGUCUUUAUAUAUUUACUUUGAAAGCUGAAGCUUGCAAUUAUGGUAAGGGGCGUUACAUUUCCGACUUGUGCUUGUGGUGUUCGGCCAGUCACAAUGCACUGGGUCAGCUGGCCAAUCAGAGCAGACUGCGCUUGUCGAAAGGAGGGGCUUUGUUGAAAACGACGAGUUUGAGAGAGGCGGGGCAUAGAGGAACUACAAUAAUGCCCAGUAUUUGAAAAAUAAUGUGUUUUUUGAACAUUAAAGCAUGUCAACAUAUUCUGUUACACAAAAUAAUGAUCAUUAAAAUAGCAUCAUAUGACCCUUUAAUAUUUUCGUUGAAACAGCAAUGCACUUUUCAGGAUUCUUUGAUGAAUAGAAAGUUCAAAAAACAGCAUGUAUUUGAAAUAUAUAUAUUUUGUAACAUUAUAAAUGAAAAUAAAUAAAAGUAUUAAUUUCUCUCUAUCAAAAAAUAAAAAAUAAAAAAAAAUUACAGAGGCCAAACUUUUCAGUUGAAGCAAAAUAAAACAUGUCCGAGUCAUUUUGAGUCAAAGUGCAAAUAUGGCUGAUCAUGUUUCUAGAUUUUUCAUUUACUGUUGACAUGAUUACCCUGGCACUAAAGACUACAAUGGCACUAUGAACUUCAAACAGCUACUAGCAUUGACUUGCAGACUAUUUGGCUUCGCUGAUGUUGUUCUCGUUGCUAUCUGAGGAAAUAUUUGUUGUCUAAGAAGUGGUCUAAAGCAGUUGUUAGUUUAAAUACCAGCUGGCCUGUAUCAGAAUCUGACUCUUUCAGCACAACUAAAGAGAGCAGCUUGUCUCUGGCCCCCUCUCCAUGCUUGGCAGCAAUCACAGGCCGGGCAGAUAGAAAGCUGCCAAAUGUGUUUGAGGUGUGGGGUGAUUUGCAUAGGUGCACACACGUCAGGGCCUCUGAGCAUAAAUGGGCCACUGUGAAGCUCCUCUGCUCACCACUAGUAAAUCAACACAGAUACAUAUACAAGCACUCCUCAGAGCGUAUCCUGUCAGCCAAAAUCUGGGGUUAGAAUCGCUCUUUCUGUCCUUCUUGUAGCUACACGCGCACACACACGGACUUGUUCUCACACAAAUAUCCCUCUAUUUCACAUACUAGACAAAUUUAUCUAUCAUAUAAUUUCCAAACAGAUAGCUUAACCAACCCGAGCUAAAAAAGUUUAAAAGUGUCAAGACGAGCAAACUUGUUCAAGAUUUUCCCAUCUUUAACCACACAGAAAUUCACAUAUCUACUCACUGUCUAAAUUAUGAUUUUACCUUAAUCCUGAUUUCUUUUCCAUAAUAGUCAGUUGCACAACCCAACAGCAACUUCAACCACACCUGAAAUAUUUAAGCAAGAGGACCCACUACAUCACUCUCUAGUACCGUCAGCUGAAACAGCUUCACAUGUGGUCGUAAUGGCUCAUCUAUUAACCGAGUCUUUACAUAAUCUCAGAUCUCUGUUCGGUGCCACAUUUGGAAAUCUGCCACUUCCACUCAAGUCACCUGAGAAGCCCCAGGGGUCUAGUUAACUGGUUUGUCAUUCACUCCCACAUGGAGUGUCUUUUUAAAAUACCAAACAUUGCUUAAAGGAAUAGAUGUAGAUCACCUCAAAACGGCUAAUUAUGGUGCUACAAACUUUAACAGUCAUUUUUAACGUGUAACAGAAUUAACUUUAGUCACUCAUUUUUGUUGAUGCAAUGCUGUCAUUCUGCCUAACGCUAGCCAACAUGAGGCUGAGUGAAUGAUGACACUAUUAUUUGGGUUAAAUGUUCCUAUAAAUAGGGGAUAAAAUGUAAUUUCGAGGUGGACUAGGUUUAUGAAAUUGAUAAAUAAUGUAUUAUGUUAGUGUAAGUUAACGGUUGUUCUGACGUAUUUUUCGUAUCUGUUGCUGAGCAACGGUCUGAGCACCGGACAAGACGACGUUGUCAGGCCACAUCUUCGCUAGCAAAGCAACCGCUAGAGGACACCAACACCUAAUUUACAAAGUACUCGCUCGUUAUCCUGGCUCAAAAAUAAGAAACAGAUGCAGGCUACAUUAUGCGGUUUAAAGUAUAUAUAUAUAUUUUUUAUCAAAAUACUACUUUCACGAAAGAUAUGGCUAGUAAGACAAUGUGCGCCAUUCAAGCUAAUUCGCGCCUACACAAAUGUUUCAAAGAGAACAGAUAAGAUAGAGCAGUGGUUUUCAAUCCUGUUCCUCGGGACCCACUGCUCUGCACAUUUUGCAUGUCUCUCUUAUCUGACACACUCAUUUGAGUUCAUGGAGCUCUUUCCUAAUGAGCUGAUUAUCUGAAUUUGUAAAUCGGGGAGACUUGCAAAAUGUGCAGAGCUGUGGGUCCCCAGGAACAAGUUUGAAAACCACUGAGAUAGUCUCUUUCGCCUUAUAUGGAAAUGGUCCCCAACGGCUAGUAUUUAACAACUAACAGCAUUCUUUUCUUUUUAUUAUGGAAAAGGUGAGUCUUUGGGUCAUGGAUCGGUGAGCUACAUGUCAGGAGACCAAACGGCACCAUGAUUGACAGGAAAGGGAGACACUUUUUAAUGCCGGUAGUGACCUGAGUGACAAGGAACAGCUGAGUGUGUGUGUACACACACAUCUGGAGACCCGCAGGGCUUCACACCAGACAUCCAUAUGCUGCAAGUCACCGUGCGUCUUUACGCACUAUAGUUGGAAGACUGCACCUGUCCUUGCCAUCAGGAUCUCUAAUUAAUCACAGAGGACCUUCUCCCCACUUUCUCCAACCAACAGGAACAUGCCCCCAAAGCUGCAGGGUUCCCCACGGAGACAACCUUUACGCUGCUGAAGUCAGAGGUCGUCCGUCCCAGAGGGAAACAGUGGCGACACCCCAGUGCCUGAGGAGACAGAGGCGUUCAGUAGACUAAUGGGGUCUGACUUCAUCAUUAAGAAGUUGUUUUGGGAUAUGGAUCUCAUGUGCACCUGUCUGAACGGACGCUAUUUACCAUUACAACAGAUUUUGCCAUUGACAAGUUGACUAGAGAUGACUCAAGUCCAUCCAAGCCUAAAGGGGAACAACUGUUUCUAAGAUGAUUGACAGCAACUCUGGUGAUGUGUAGGAGGAAACUGAAAUGAAUGAGGCCCUUGUAAAGAAAAGGGAUGAUUGGGAGUGUGGGGGACUUUGCCAAGACUACACAAACACAGAUUCAUAUCCUUCAUGCCUCUCUAUGACUUGUGGAAGAGAACAAAAUGAGGAUCAAGCAUGUAAAAACAAAAAAUAAGUAGGCGUAAAGGAAUAGAGCAAAGUUUUUGCACCAUUGUAAAUGAUGAAGAAAACUGCAAUAAGACACUUUAAACAGUAUUUUUUUUUUCAACAAAAAUAUUUCCAUGUGUAUCCGUUUUGCAUUUAUAAACUGUGGUCUCUUCAAACUGUGAUGCGGUCUCAUUAGCAAAUUUUUAGUGAUAUUUUGUGGCCAUUAGUUGUGUAGCGAAGAAUCGAGCGACUUUAAUCCAAGCAGCUCUCUGUUAGUCAUAUGUGUAGCACUGUUGCAAAAUCUGUGGGUAAAUUUUUCUCACUUAUUCCCGAACUUAUCAAUACUUAUUGAAAUGACUAGAUUUUGACUAUGAAAAAAAAUCACUGUAUGCACCCAAAUGAUUUCAGAACGUCAUUAUAUCUUAAAAUGAAAUAGUGGCUCAAGUCAAGAAGUGACUCCCAUCCCUCCGUUGGUGUCAAUGAGAUUUCCCCCCAUGUUUGUCCAGUUUUCAUUUAAUUUAAGUCUGACUACUUAACCUUAAGUAUGAGCAGUGAGGCUUGCAUUAACAAGCACCACUAAGUAUACUUUCAUAUACGCUCUUUCUCAGCUGAACAAAAGAGAUCUAUGUCUCUCUUUGUUUAGCUGUAUAAAUCUUUCAGAGAAAUAAAAGUCUCGUCUCUGCGAGGCUCAGUCUCUGAUUUACGUGCAACAACAUCGGCUUGCACUUCAUUCUGUGUUUUCUCAGAGCGCUGAACCUCUUCAGCCAAGUGCAGCACGUUUGAUGUAAGUGUGGCAGACAGUCACUCCCCGUUCCCCUCUGCUCGUGUUUUACGAGCUCUGACUAUAAAACCAAAGGCUGGACUGCCCAAUAGGAAACAGUCUCCUAAUGGGAUCAUAGAUGGCCUUGAAUGAAAGUAGGGGAAGAGACUAAUUUUUUUGGCGUACAUGACACUAAAGAAUGAAUCUGGAGGUGUGUAUGUAUGUACAUGUGUUUCUGUAUGUUUUUCAUGUGCUCGGUGAGGAAUAGCAUUUUAUAAAAGCUGAUC